AGGGUUCCAUAACUAGGUUUCCAUAACUAGGUUUCCAUAACUAGGUUUCUAUAACUAGGUUUCCAUAACUAGGUUUCCAUAACUAGGUUUCCAUAACUAGGUUUCCA